rnacentral:misc_RNA from 1 species
UCCGGUUUGUCACCGGCAGUCUCCCUAGAGUUCCCGGCCGAACCGCUGGCAACUAGGGACAAGGGUUGCGCUCGUUACGGGACUUAACCCAACAUCUCACGACACGAGCUGACGACAACCAUGCACCACCUGUAUACCAACCUUGCGGGGCGACUGUUUCCAGCCGUUUCCGGUAUAUGUCAAGCCUUGGUAAGGUUCUUCGCGUUGCAUCGAAUUAAUCCGCAUGCUCCGCCGCUUGUGCGGGCCCCCGUCAAUUCCUUUGAGUUUUAGCCUUGCGGCCGUACUCCCCAGGCGGGGCGCUUAAUGCGUUAGCUACGGCACGGAAUCCGUGGAAAGGACCCCACACCUAGCGCCCAACGUUUACAGUGUGGACUAC